UGCAGCAUGGGGGGCUGCCCGAGCCCCUCACACUGAGAUGGGAGUCCCCUCCUCGGCCCCCCAUUCCCGUCGUGGGCGUUGUGGCUGGGCUGGUUGUGGUCACUGGCGCUGUGCUGGUUGGAGCUGUCAUGUGGAGGAAGUAGAGCUCAGGUGGAAGAGGAAGGAGUUAUGCUCAGGCUGCAAGUAAG